rnacentral:miRNA from 1 species
GUGCAAAAGUAAUUGUGGUUUUUGUCAUUUAAAAGUAAUGGCAAAAAUUGCAAUUACUUU